GGCCGUGUGGCGAAAUGGCAUCGCGUCUGACUACGAUAACGCUACAUCAGGAGAUUGCAGGUUCGACCCCUGUCUCGGUCA
rnacentral:tRNA from 1 species